rnacentral:rRNA from 1 species
UUAAGCGACUAAGCGUACACGGUGGAUGCCCUGGCAGUCAGAGGCGAUGAAGGACGUGCUAAUCUGCGAUAAGCGUCGGUAAGGUGAUAUGAACCGUUAUAACCGGCGAUUUCCGAAUGGGGAAACCCAGUGUGAUUCGUCACACUAUCAUUAACUGAAUCCAUAGGUUAAUGAGGCGAACCGGGGGAACUGAAACAUCUAAGUACCCCGAGGAAAAGAAAUCAACCGAGAUUCCCCCAGUAGCGGCGAGCGAACGGGGAGCAGCCCAGAGCCUGAAUCAGUGUGUGUGUUAGUGGAAGCGUCUGGAAAGGCGUGCGAUACAGGGUGACAGCCCCGUACACAAAAAUGCACAUAUUGUGAGCUCGAUGAGUAGGGCGGGACACGUGGUAUCCUGUCUGAAUAUGGGGGGACCAUCCUCCAAGGCUAAAUACUCCUGACUGACCGAUAGUGAACCAGUACCGUGAGGGAAAGGCGAAAAGAACCCCGGCGAGGGGAGUGAAAAAGAACCUGAAACCGUGUACGUACAAGCAGUGGGAGCACGCUUAGGCGUGUGACUGCGUACCUUUUGUAUAAUGGGUCAGCGACUUAUAUUCUGUAGCAAGGUUAACCGAAUAGGGGAGCCGAAGGGAAACCGAGUCUUAACUGGGCGUUAAGUUGCAGGGUAUAGACCCGAAACCCGGUGAUCUAGCCAUGGGCAGGUUGAAGGUUGGGUAACACUAACUGGAGGACCGAACCGACUAAUGUUGAAAAAUUAGCGGAUGACUUGUGGCUGGGGGUGAAAGGCCAAUCAAACCGGGAGAUAGCUGGUUCUCCCCGAAAGCUAUUUAGGUAGCGCCUCGUGAAUUCAUCUCCGGGGGUAGAGCACUGUUUCGGCAAGGGGGUCAUCCCGACUUACCAACCCGAUGCAAACUGCGAAUACCGGAGAAUGUUAUCACGGGAGACACACGGCGGGUGCUAACGUCCGUCGUGAAGAGGGAAACAACCCAGACCGCCAGCUAAGGUCCCAAAGUCAUGGUUAAGUGGGAAACGAUGUGGGAAGGCCCAGACAGCCAGGAUGUUGGCUUAGAAGCAGCCAUCAUUUAAAGAAAGCGUAAUAGCUCACUGGUCGAGUCGGCCUGCGCGGAAGAUGUAACGGGGCUAAACCAUGCACCGAAGCUGCGGCAGCGACGCUUAUGCGUUGUUGGGUAGGGGAGCGUUCUGUAAGCCUGCGAAGGUGUGCUGUGAGGCAUGCUGGAGGUAUCAGAAGUGCGAAUGCUGACAUAAGUAACGAUAAAGCGGGUGAAAAGCCCGCUCGCCGGAAGACCAAGGGUUCCUGUCCAACGUUAAUCGGGGCAGGGUGAGUCGACCCCUAAGGCGAGGCCGAAAGGCGUAGUCGAUGGGAAACAGGUUAAUAUUCCUGUACUUGGUGUUACUGCGAAGGGGGGACGGAGAAGGCUAUGUUGGCCGGGCGACGGUUGUCCCGGUUUAAGCGUGUAGGCUGGUUUUCCAGGCAAAUCCGGAAAAUCAAGGCUGAGGCGUGAUGACGAGGCACUACGGUGCUGAAGCAACAAAUGCCCUGCUUCCAGGAAAAGCCUCUAAGCAUCAGGUAACAUCAAAUCGUACCCCAAACCGACACAGGUGGUCAGGUAGAGAAUACCAAGGCGCUUGAGAGAACUCGGGUGAAGGAACUAGGCAAAAUGGUGCCGUAACUUCGGGAGAAGGCACGCUGAUAUGUAGGUGAAGUGAUUUACUCAUGGAGCUGAAAUCAGUCGAAGAUACCAGCUGGCUGCAACUGUUUAUUAAAAACACAGCACUGUGCAAACACGAAAGUGGACGUAUACGGUGUGACGCCUGCCCGGUGCCGGAAGGUUAAUUGAUGGGGUUAGCGCAAGCGAAGCUCUUGAUCGAAGCCCCGGUAAACGGCGGCCGUAACUAUAACGGUCCUAAGGUAGCGAAAUUCCUUGUCGGGUAAGUUCCGACCUGCACGAAUGGCGUAAUGAUGGCCAGGCUGUCUCCACCCGAGACUCAGUGAAAUUGAACUCGCUGUGAAGAUGCAGUGUACCCGCGGCAAGACGGAAAGACCCCGUGAACCUUUACUAUAGCUUGACACUGAACAUUGAGCCUUGAUGUGUAGGAUAGGUGGGAGGCUUUGAAGUGUGGACGCCAGUCUGCAUGGAGCCGACCUUGAAAUACCACCCUUUAAUGUUUGAUGUUCUAACGUGGACCCGUAAUCCGGGUUGCGGACAGUGUCUGGUGGGUAGUUUGACUGGGGCGGUCUCCUCCUAAAGAGUAACGGAGGAGCACGAAGGUUGGCUAAUCCUGGUCGGACAUCAGGAGGUUAGUGCAAUGGCAUAAGCCAGCUUGACUGCGAGCGUGACGGCGCGAGCAGGUGCGAAAGCAGGUCAUAGUGAUCCGGUGGUUCUGAAUGGAAGGGCCAUCGCUCAACGGAUAAAAGGUACUCCGGGGAUAACAGGCUGAUACCGCCCAAGAGUUCAUAUCGACGGCGGUGUUUGGCACCUCGAUGUCGGCUCAUCACAUCCUGGGGCUGAAGUAGGUCCCAAGGGUAUGGCUGUUCGCCAUUUAAAGUGGUACGCGAGCUGGGUUUAGAACGUCGUGAGACAGUUCGGUCCCUAUCUGCCGUGGGCGCUGGAGAACUGAGGGGGGCUGCUCCUAGUACGAGAGGACCGGAGUGGACGCAUCACUGGUGUUCGGGUUGUCAUGCCAAUGGCACUGCCCGGUAGCUAAAUGCGGAAGAGAUAAGUGCUGAAAGCAUCUAAGCACGAAACUUGCCCCGAGAUGAGUUCUCCCUGACCCUUUAAGGGUCCUGAAGGAACGUUGAAGACGACGACGUUGAUAGGCCGGGUGUGUAAGCGCAGCGAUGCGUUGAGCUAACCGGUACUAAUGAACCGUGAGGCUUAACCUU